rnacentral:tRNA from 1 species
GGAAAAGUAGUCUAAAGCAAGGACGUCGGUUUCAUAAUUCGAAAGUGGAGUUUAUUAUGCCCCUUUUCUA